UUAAAUUGAAGAGUUUGAUCAUGGCUCAGAUUGAACGCUGGCGGCAGGCCUAACACAUGCAAGUCGAGCGGAAACGACUCUAACAAUCCUUCGGGUGCGUUAAUGGGCGUCGAGCGGCGGACGGG
rnacentral:rRNA from 1 species